rnacentral:rRNA from 1 species
AUUGAACGCUGGCGGCAGGCCUAACACAUGCAAGUCGAACGGUAACAGAAAGCAGCUUGCUGCUUUGCUGACGAGUGGCGGACGGGUGAGUAAUGUCUGGGAAACUGCCUGGUGGAGGGGGAUAACUACUGGAAACGGUAGCUAAUACCGCAUAACGUCGCAAGACCAAAGAGGGGGACCUUCGGGCCUCUUGCCAUCGGAUGUGCCCAGAUGGGAUUAGCUAGUAGGUGGGGUAAAGGCUCACCUAGGCGACGAUCCCUAGCUGGUCUGAGAGGAUGACCAGCCACACUGGAACUGAGACACGGUCCAGACUCCUACGGGAGGCAGCAGUGGGGAAUAUUGCACAAUGGGCGCAAGCCUGAUGCAGCCAUGCCGCGUGUAUGAAGAAGGCCUUCGGGUUGUAAAGUACUUUCAGCGGGGAGGAAGGGAGUAAAGUUAAUACCUUUGCUCAUUGACGUUACCCGCAGAAGAAGCACCGGCUAACUCCGUG